rnacentral:rRNA from 1 species
CAUAAGUCAGGUGUGAAAUUCCGGGGCUCAACCCCGGAGCUGCAUUUGAAACUGUGUAACUAGAGUACAGUUAGGGAAAACGGAAUUCCACGUGUAGCGGUGAAAUGCGUAGAUAUGUGGAAGAACACCAGUGGUGAAGACGGUUUUCUGGGCUGUAACUGACGCUGAGGCGCGAAAGCAAGGGGAGCAAACAGG